AGUGCAUGGAGCCUCUUCAUGUUGGUUGUGUGUUUAUGUGAAUUCAGCGCUUGAUUGAUGGUAAGACAUUAGUGAUUCAUACAUAAAAUAACAAUUAAAGGAGGUGUGUGUGUGUUGAAUUUGUAUUUUGGUGAAUUUAUCAGUUUAGAGUUGAGGUGUGUCUGUGUACAUUAGGGCAAUGAUGGAGGUGGUGUGUGUAUUAAAUCAAUGUUGUGUGUGUGUGUGUGUGUGUUAGGCAGUGUUGGGAGUGAUGUGUGUAUGUUAGUGGAGAGUGUGUGUUUAUUAGCGUAAUGCUUUGAGUGGUGUGUGUGUGUGUGUGUGUGAGUGUUUUAUUAGGGUAAUGGUGGGGGGUGAACUUGCCCCUCAAUUCUCCCCUGCUGUUCCAGCAGUAAUAAUGACUCCUGCUGGUCAGGGUGGGUGGGUCAAUGUGAGCCAGCUGCAAGAACAGACGGUACCUGUCAUACACACAUACACACACAGACACACACACAUCUUACUACUGACAGCCCCACCCCCUUUGCCAGUCUCCUUCGCUUCUUUGUCAUUGUGUCUUUCAAUUUCCUUUUUUAUUUCCCUUUCUUCUCCAUUGUUUAAAACCACAUGUGAGUGUGUCCAUAUUUUGGCAACAGUGUUACGUUUGGGCCAAUUUUACAGUUAUGCCAACACUGUAGGGGGCAGCACUUCCCACACAACCAACCUACCAUUUAGCUGUAGAACUUUCCAUGACUACAAAUGCAUAAGAACAUCAAGGACCUCAGUUGUCAUUUUUCAUUCAACUCUGAAUAGUUAAAAACUCUUCCAUGUGCUUUCGCUGUGUAGGAGAUGAGUCCAGAUUAUUAACUGUGAGUUUACACAUUCCUUAAGUGUGGCAAGUCUAACCCUUUGCUUGGCUUCGCAGUGCGGAUUGUGGAUUUUCUGAUUCUUCUCCCUUGCUAGUGAAGUCCAACCUUAGGAUAUCUGGAAUGAGAGCAUUUCUAUGUGUCCUGCUCUGUUGUUCAGUUUUAUUGUUGCUACGUGACAGUUGGAGAUCUGAGGUGCAGUCCUCUUCUGAUGCAGUGCAGAACACACACAGCAGCAGAAACCCGCAGCAGGGGCUCGCUGGAGUGAGAGUGGUGUCUCUCUCUCUGUCUUCACUGCUCUUUGGCUGGACUCUGCUGGCAGACCUUCUCCAAUUCCUUAUCUUCUUUCCAUGGAUGGUUCUCAGUUCCGUGUUCUACGCACUCCUUAUGUUCCAGUGGUUCUUCAUUGGCCUGACGUCCUCGGUCAGCUGGCUUUUCCUGCAGAUUGUGCUCUACUUUGUGCAUGUGAUUUUAAUGGUCACUAUUCUCUGCGUGCUGGCUGUGUUCCGGUCCGGAAUAGCAGCCAAUAAACGGCUUAAAAGCUAAACAGUUCUACUGCUUUGGCUAGCACUGAAUUGAACUGCAUAAAAUACACUGUUGGACUUUGUGUUAAUUUACUAACAUUGAAGAUAAAGAGGACCAGGCCAGGACUCUGAUUCCAGCCUCUAAUGAGGGCUUCUCAUGUGUCAGACAAGCAGCAGAAUGAGUUAUUAAGCUACAUAGCCAUAUGUCGUCAUUGCCACUGAGUUAUUCUGUUUAAGUGUUUGUGACAAAUUCUUGGAUUGAGAAUAAAAAAAAACACGUUAAGAAA